UUUAAUAAAAGAGGAAGAAGAACAAACAAUCUACUACCUUCUCUGUUUCGGAUUCUGCUCUGAUGUUCUUCGAAAGUUGGCUCGGUUCUAUUCCUCUUUCUUCUGAUCUGUUCGAUUUGAUGGAUGAUUCAGUUGUUUGAUGGUGUUUUUGCGUGAUUGUUGUUCUUUCCUUCUUCCUCCCUUCAAAUCGGUUUUGCUUCCUCUUGAUUCUGCUCGUUUUGGAUCCGGUUUGUUUGUGAGUGGAGGUGGAGUUUCGGUUGGUAUGGAUUUGUGUUAUGGUUCGAACAAUAACAAACAGUGGUGGUUGUAGUUAUGUUUUUUGAACGGCUGGUGAUUGUUUGUGGAUGAAUUUCGAAAUUGUGGUUUUGAAUGAAUUCUGGAAAUUGUUGGUGUGUUCUUGAGGUUAUGUGAUGAGCACCGGACGAUUUUGAUUAUUUUUGUUUGUUUGAUCCGAAAAGGAAAAGAAAAUUGAGAGAAGAAUUUUUUUUUUUUUUGGGUUUUAUGAAGAUGAUGAAGAAAAAAAAUUAUGAAGAUGACGAAUGAUGAAUGUAGAUGAAGAUGAGGGAAGAAGAAGAAGAAAGUAAAUAAAUUAGAUGUUGGUGAUACACUAUAAAAUCUGAUAGACUUUGUAAUCUAACGGUCUGUUUUUUUAAAGGAUUAAAAUUAUCAAAAUUGGACCAAAUUGAAUAAAAGAAAUAAGUUAAGAAACAUGUUUGAGAAAAUUAAGACUUAUGUGACCAAAUUAAAUAAAAGAAAUAAAUUAAGGGACCGACAGAUCAAUUAAGCCAAACAAAUAUAAAGCAUAAGUAUUAUUUAAAAUUUAAUGUAUUAACCUUAACCACUAAAAAGAGCUUCAGAGUAACUAUUUUUGAUACAAAGUACAGUGUAGUAGCACUUGUCACACCAUACACUUGAGAUAGCUCACGACUCUCUAGUUUUAAAUUUAAUAUUCUCUUUGAUUAUAAACAAACAAGUAAAAAAGUCGUCUUCAAGGUGGGGUUUAGUAUGGGAAAGGGAAGUUGUUUCCUACCAUAGGAAAUUUCUUUUUGUCCAUUGGAUCAAAUAAGAAACAUUGUUUUAUCAUGGAAUCUCAACUCUCUCUCUCUCUCUCUCUCUCUCUCUCUCUCAUGACUCAUUCCUCCACUAGCAGUUGUGUAUAUUGCAAUAUCAAACCAACCAUGACUACCAUUUCAACAGCUUGAAUCACACAAUUUGCUUUCAAUAUUUUUCUUCUCUAUAUAUUUUUUUUAAUUUCAAGUUUUGGUGACAAAUGGGUCUCUAUUUUUCUCUAACUUGAACAUCGAUUUCUUUGUGUUCCUGAAUGAAAAUCAUAGACUGCAAUUUACAGAAAAAGGAAUAAGUUCAGUUUCAGCUAAGAUCUACACAAAUUAUUCCCUUCACCCUUCACUCAUGAGUUCUCUCUGGUUUUCUAUUCAAGGGUUUUUAAUUACUGUGUGGUUGCUUGGUUGUUCAACCGGGUCAGUAUGAAUAUGGAUCAGGUCGGGUGGAUUUGGAGUUUGUGUUGAAGAUGUGAAGGUCUAUCAUGAUAAAAAUUGAAGAUGAAUACAUUGCAACAAACGAGAGUAGAGUAAAUCAUUGAUAUACAAAUUUUGACAAAUCUGAGUACAAAUUUGAAAAAAAAUUAGAAUACAAAAUUUCAAAAUCUCACAAAUCUCUAUAGCUGGAAUUUGGAUUUCCCAUGUUAAAAAUUUGCAUACAAUAUUUGAUGAAGAAAUUCUGAUAGAAAUGGAGAGAGAAAGUGCAUUGAGGUGGUGGGGGCAAGCAGGGAGAUGGAUUGUGGAGGGUGGUUGGUUAGAUAUGGUGUUGAGAGACUAUGAUAACUAUGUGUUCUUUACCUAAUCUAAUGGUCAAAAUUGACUUUCCCAUGGUGGGAAACAACUUCACUGACCCAUGCUAAAUGCCACACGUCUUAAAGGUGGGGUUUAGCAUGGGAAAGAGGAGUUGUUUCCCACCAUGGAAAAGUACUUUUUGACCAUCAGAUCAAAUGAAGAACAUAAUCUAACAGUAGACUAUCAACACUAGAUUAUUUUCACACUCUCUUUCACCACCAUUCUCUCUCCUCCCUCCAUCCCCACUCACCCACCACCGUCCAAACAACAUCAAACCCAACUGCUACCAAACCAAACAACGUAGAGAGAGAAUGGAGGAAGAGGAAUACCCGAUUACAUCAUGAACUUGGAUGACGUUCCUUCCAACCUUCCCACUCAUCUUGAACUUAAAAAAACUCGUGUUUUCUGCAAUCUCGAUGCUCCUCAACAUAUAACAAUCUAUCUUCCCCUUUUCAUUAUUUUUCUUAUUCUUCAAUUCUUUUUUCCAACGUUACUUUAAAUUUUACAAUUUUUUUUUAUAAUUUAUUUUCAUCAUUUUGAGUACCCAUUUCAGAAAAGUUUCUAACUUCACAAUUGGGUACUUUCGAAGGAUAAAAAUUAGGGGUUGAAAAUUUCACUCUUUUGUAUUAUAGAAGGUUAAGUGUUGUGUUUGUAAGCUUAUAAUGUAAAAAUGUUGUGUUUGGAAAGUGGUGGGUUUGAUGUUGUGUUGCUUGUUGUGGUUGUGGUGGAUGAGUGGGGGAUGGAGGGAGGAGAAGAUGAGUGGGUUUGAGUUUGACCAAAGUAUUAGGAAUGUAUUUUGUUCAAAAAAAAAGUAUUAGAAAUGCAUUGGUGCCUUUGACUCACUAAAAUUUUCCCAUGAACCUAGUAAAACUAUGUCACCCAAAGCUUGGCAUUUAUUUCAUGUCAGGAGUUACUAAAAAAAGUAAGAGUAAAUUAAGUUAGCUUUUAAGACAUAUCAGAUUUAGAGAUGAAGUGAUUCCACCAUGGAAAAGAUUUAAAGAUGUGAAAAUUGACAUAUAAAAUAUGAGGAAGAAGGUAUAAUGGUGGUGGGUGCAAGGAGGAAGAUGAGAUGUAGAGGGUGGAUGGUUGGAUUUGGUGUUGAUGGUCUAUGAUAAAAUUAUGUUCUUUUGUAAAUCUGAUGGUUAAAAUUAGUUUUCCCAUGGUGGGAAACUCUUUCCCUUUCCCAUGCUAAAUGUCACCCGUCUUCAAAUAUCAUAGUAGUGAUUUGAGAUACGUUCUUCAUAGGAUGAGAUUCACUCAUGUGACAUUGCCCCGUUUAUGAUAGAGAUAAACUAGUGAUUGAAAAUAAACUAUAACAAACAUAAUAAAGGUAGAUGAUGUGUUUUCCAUUGUUUAGUGCCUCAUUAGAGGAAUCACACUUAUAAUUUAUCGAUGCAAUGAUUCCUCAUAUGAUUUAGAUAAAAUAGAUCUUAUUUCUAAUUGGAAAAUACCUUCUUCUUUUUUUCUCACUCAAGAGUAGGUUUGUGAGUUCUACAACUUGCUUUAAAGAAUUGAUUCUGACAUGUUUGGUUAUUCUUGAGUGAAAUUGAUUCUGCCUUUAGAAUUGAUUCUACUUAAAGCUCAAAUUUAUGGUUUUUGAUUCUAAAAUUGAAUUAACAUAUUAAAGGUAAAUAUUGUAGGUAAACAAUAACAAAUCAUGAGUUUGUUACAAUAACAAUAAAAAAUCAUUAUUUUUUUAAUUUACACUUUAUAUACUUUGGAGGAUCCUUGCCCAUUUAUUAUACAAUCUUUUAUUUAUUCUUUUUUGUUUGCAUAGAUGAUUCUUUAGAUUAGACAUAUAAUUUUUUUUUUGUCAGGUAGCCUAAUGGCUAGAAUUCACCUUAUAAUGUGAAUAAGUGGAGUGUCCGGGGUUCGAAUCCCGACCCCUGCAUAUAACAAUGCAUUGUCUCUGCCAACUGAGCUAUGCUCACGGGGACAGAUUAGACAUAUAAAUUUACAUACACAAAAUAAAAAGACAUAGAAAUCAAAUUUUAUUCACCCCAACUAUAUUAUUUUUGCAUUUUUGAAUUUACGUUCUCCUCAUUAAAUACACGAGUCACAUAUGCAUGUACAUGCAUAUGUGACCAACAAAACAACCCAUGAAAAAAUAUCUCACCUAUUUAGUUUUUGUCCCUCACAAUCAUUUGAUGACAAAUAUAACUAAAUUUAAAUUACAUAUUUUAGAUCAUAAUAUUUUUACAAUUGUGCUUUUAUUUUAUUUUAACAAUAAAUACAACAUGAUGAUGUAAGAAACAAUUGUUAUUUUUCAUUCUUCAAAAACAUUCAUAUAUUUUUAUAAUUUAAAAAGUGAUAAAGAAUAUUGUGAUAUAUACAUAUACUCUUAAAAAUUAUCAUAUUUUUUAUAUUAAAUGUAUGUCGAAUGUUGCCUCCACAUCUUAAAAUUCCUAACUCCGCCAUUGUGUACAGGCAUAUGUUGCCAUAGUUGAUGAUAACAAUUAACUAUGAAAUCCUCUCAAAAGAAAAAAGAAAAAAAAACUAUUAACUAUGAAAUAUGAGAAAGAUCAAAAUAAGGAUAAUCAAGUACCUCUUGGAGUAGACUCAAGUAGCUUAGAUCAGGAGAAGGCAUGAAAGCUGUAACAAAUACAGCAGCUGCAAUUUUCUUUGGAAAUAAUUCCAUGGCCACAGAUAUACACAUCCCACCCAAGCUAUGACCCACUAGAAUAACUCUCUGAUCUUGUCGCAGUGACCUUAGAAAUUCAAUCAACGGUUCAUAAUAAUAUGUGACAGAAUCCAGCUCAUGCACUUGCUUUGGAUGGAUUCCAGAAGCAGCCAUGUCUAGUGCUGUGACUUCGUGUCCAGCAGAUUUUAACAGAGCAAUAAUCUUGUACCAACACCAUGCCCCAUGGCAAGAUCCAUGAAUCAACACGAAAUGUCUCUUAAUCUCAGUAUCCAUCUACCUUUUUUAGUGCUCUGCUGUGUUGGUUUUUGCUUAUAUAUAAAUAACUUGGAUUAGUCCAAGAAUUUUGAAUAAAUUUCGAUUUAUUUUGAUUUUUCAACCAAAACGCGUAAAAUCACAACUGAAACUGUACUUAAGAGCAGCAAAGCCAGAGACAGUUAACUAUGAGACCAGAGCAGCAGUUAACUGUUGUCGGAUAUGCCAGAGGCAAUUAACUACCGCUGGUGAUAAUUUGAUCAUUUACUUGUGUCAAUAUGAAAUUUUUGAUUUCAGAAAAGCAAUUUUCUUUAACUUAAUUCAAUCACCUUACAAUUAAGUCCAGUUUGAUGGCUUGCUCAAGCAAAAAUUCCAGUCAGAUGGGAUAGAUUGUGACCAUCUACCUCCCAAUACCUUAGCCAUUAAAUCAUUACGUGCCCAAGUUUGUUUCAUCGGUUAAAUUCAAUGUAAGUCUAUCCAAAGCCCAAACUCGUGGAAAGCAACAUUGAAUAACCAAGUAUGUGGAACUUGAGGUCAACCAUAAUACCAUAUGGAAAAGACACCCCCGCAGCCGGUGAAUAGGAUAUUCUUUAGAGCAUCCGUGAUGAAAAAACUUAUUUUUAGGUAUUUAAAUGAGCAAAUAAGCAAUUAUCCUUUAAAAUUGUAUGUUUUGUCUAAUUAUCCUCUUACAUUAACAAAAUUUCAAUUACUUUCGAAAUUGUACAAUAUUAAUCAAUUUAUCCAUUCCGUCAAAUUCUUCUGUUAGUCAACAUGACGUUUUGCAAAUACCCCUGAAAUUUUCCACUUAUGUGCAAAAUGCUUCCCAAACUUAAAAGUUUAUAUUUUUUUUUUUAAUCCUUGACUCAACAUAUCAAAAGCAAACAAUUAACAAUUAACUUUAAUAAUUUAAACUAUAUAAUAUUACAAUCCAAUAUAAAUAUUAUAAUCCAAUAUUACAAUUAACAUUCGGAUCAUUUAUUACAAUCCAAUAUUUUAAAUAACAAAAAGCAAAACAAUAUACUAGUCCAUUACCACAUUGUAAUACUUUAUUGGAUACGGAAAUCAAAACUCUAUAAUACUUCUUUUGUUAAUACAAUGAGUACAUGACAAUCAACAUAAGCAUUACCCUAUGGAACCUAACACUAUUUGACAAUAUUGAUGUGUUUGACACCUAUGUUGGAAGUCAUAAGCUAGAAUUCAAAAAAAAAAAAAAAAAUCAAUUCAGCAUUGUUUUGAUAGAAAAAGAAGCAGUUCGAAAUACUCAUUAGGCAAGAUUGCAUACAUGGAUACAAAACAUGAUUAGCCAGAUAUACUAUGACUCUACUUUGUAAUGUUCUUAUGAUGUGUUAGACAUCUAAUUUUAAGUUAUUAGACAACAGUUACUAUUAAGAAGUUAUUGAAUAAAUAAGAAAAUCAAAUGAAAAAUCAGUAGGCAUUUUAUUUGGGACUGAAUAGUGGUUUGGGAGAGACCAGACUCUCAAUUUUCUAGGGAAUUCAUUGUAUUCUAUAUUCCUAUUGUAUCAUCAAUAAAAGUAAGUUAUUUCUGUUAUAUUUCUAUGUUUGGUAUCAGUUUCUAUCCUGAUAAUUCAAAGAAAGCGUCUUAAAUAACUUAAAACAUUAAAGCUUACUGUUAAUUGUUUAUCUUUAAUAUCUUUUGAGUCAAGUAUAAGAAAAAAAAUAUAAAUUUUCAAGUUCAAGGGGCAUUUUGCACAUAAGUGCAAAACUUCAGGGGGGGUAUUUGCAAAACGUCAUGUUGACUAACAGAAGAAUUUGUCGGAGGGGGUAAAUUAAUUAACGUUGUGCAAUUUCAGAGGGGUAAUUGAAGUUUUGUUAAUGUCAUGGGGUAAUUGACGAAACUUACAAUUUAAAGGGGUAAUUGCAUAUUUACCCGUAUUUAAAUGCAUCUCACGCAUACAUAUCAUUUAUGGAAAAUGUUAACUUGUGUCUUUAAAACACAAGUUAAAGAGUCAAAAGUGGAAAUAAUUUGUCGUAAUCAAUGCUUUGAAUUUAAUUUUUUUACUUAAUUGAAUCCACAAAAUUUAAGGAAAAAUUUCUACUUUUGGGUUACUUAACAUUUGCCCUUAGAGAAACUUUUGGGUCAAACACCCGUAUAGGUUACCUCCUUCUAUGUCGACUAGGCAUGACAAUAGGGCGGUUUGGGUAUCCUCGCCCCAUCCCCAUCCCCACAGUGGAUAAACUCUUUUUUAAAACAAAAAUAGAAGUAUUUUUAAGCUCCGAGCGUAAUGUUGUAAUGCAUUAUCCAGCAAAAGAUGAUGACGAUCAAUUGCUAUGAUGAUGGAGAAGAGAGAGGCCGAAAUUGUGAGACAUGGAAGGAGAAAAGAGAGAACUAUGAUAAAUAAGGGUCAACUGAAAUACCGAGAUUGUGUGAGUGAAAUCAUUUAAGGUUUGGGUUUCUAUUGAUAUAAAAGGGGCAAUAAAUUGAUUUUCACCAUUCGGGAUGGGUUUGGGUAUGGGUUCGGGGUGAGUACUUAUAUCCUCGUUACCCGUUCCGUACCCGUGUUCUAAAAUCGGGGAAAACCCAAACUCAUUCAAAGCGGAAAAAAUCCGUCAAAUUGAGUUUGGUUCGGACGGGUAUCCACGGAUAUGGGUUUUGUUGCCAUGCUUAAUGUUGACCACUAUGUUUUUUGAAGCUCCCCUCGUGGUUGAUGUUGAUACUUUUCUCAAGUGUAUUAAAUCGUUCCCUAAAGAGACAUCUUAUAUGAAUGUGGUUACAUAUGAAUGUAUAGGUAUAUCCAAACUCUUGGACAGCAACAAUGGUGUCAUUGGAUAACCAAGGUAUGUGGAAUUUGAGAUCAGCCAUAUGGGAAAGACAAUAUCUUGGACAACAGUUGUAUCUAAGAGUGUGGAAUGCACAACGUACUGCAGCCAAUGAAUAUGACAUUCCUAAUAAUGCUCUGCUUUGUGGCAAAGCAUUGGGACAUCAUCCUUAGAGUAUACGUUUUCAACCAUUUAUUUAUUGGUGUUUUAUUCUAGUCAUGAGAGCUUGACUACAGCUAGAUUUUUUAUUCCUUAAGAAGAUGAUAUAGGACACUAGAGGGAGAAGUUAUUUUCUCAAAUUUGUGACAGUCUGGACUUAUAUUGAGAGAAAUCAUGUACUGAAAUUUCUUCGCCAAUUUAUUUUCAUACGGGCACUUCCCGAUAAUAUGGUAACCAACGUCGCACAAUCCAUGAGCAUGCAUGGUUAUUUUACUAGCAAUUUCUGAAUUCAAAUAAGCAGACACAUUCAGUUGCUAAUAAUAUGUCUCCGCAAUCUCUUGAAGAUAUGCACAAAGCUCUUUCGGUUUAGAGAACAUAGGCAUGUGGUCAGCAUCAACAAUCACUUUGACAUCAUUAGCAGGGUUUCGUUCAAUCAUUGAUAGCUGAAAAUCAUGCUCUAACACUUUGUCUUGUUGGCACACAAUGAAGACUUUGGCAACAGUUCCAUGGUUAUCUUUUGUGACUUUUGUUUUCUCUUGUAAUAGUUCUUCAUCACCAUAGCUCCUAGCUGGCCUUAGUAAUGACAAUGCAAGGGACAAGUCCUGGUUCAUAUAUAAGCAUUUCAGAAAGUUAUAAGCAUCUUAUUUAUUUCACAAAGAAUUUAAAAGUAUUUUGGCAUUUUUAUGUGUGUGUUACAUUAAGCAUAUUGAUUAGCCAGCAUACCUCAGGUGGAGAUAGUUGAUACAAUUUGGUUGCUAAGAAUUGUGGUCCAAAUAACAUGGAUCCAUUUCGUUUAUCAUUAGGGCUAUCAUCAAGCAUAAUCUUUGUGUCCAAGCUGGAAUCAAUUCUUUGUGUAUUCUGCAAUUCACAAAUUGAAACUAUAUAACAGUAAUUGAAGAAAAAAUACGGUUGCUUUCAAUUUUUUACAGGCUAGUUUUUUUUUUUAUCGUUCCGUGCGAUUUGAGUCUAAACUUAGGGGUGUAUUGUAUUUUCUUUUUGGUUAAAUUGCACUUUUAAUCCCCAAACUUUCACAAAUUGACAAUUUUAAUCCACCAAAUUUAAAGUAUCACUGUUGACGAAGCAAACACAAUUUUGGGACCAAAAUUACUGGUUUGUAUUAGUUGAGGGUACAAAAGUGUAAUUUAGCCGAAUAAUAAAUAUGUAUAUAACAUUUCAGUCAUGAAAUUUGAUUUUAAUAUAUGCAUUGACUUGGUCAAAAUUAUGAAGAACGACACUUUUGCAAAAGAGGCUAAAAUUGGAGCACAAAAGUGUAAUUUUUAAAGUUUAGGGACCAAAAUUGUCGGUUUGUAAAAGUAAGGGCGAAAAGUAUCAUUUAACCUAGUGUUUUGGAUGCUUUCAAGUAAGUACUUCGUCAUUGUAUUUUAUUUCAAUUAAGCACUUUGCAUUUAAAAUUGCAGUGACGAAACUAGCUUAAUUUUUAAGCACUUCACCUUAUAGUUAAAAAAAAAAAAAAAAAAAGGGCAAAACCACUCUUUAUCUUCAUUUUUAAUUUCAAGUAAGUACUUCAUCAUUGUAUUUUAAUUCAAAAUAGUCCUGCACGUUUUAAAUUGCAGUGGCGGAGCUAGCUUACAAAUAUAAAGCACAAGUAUUAUAUUUAAAAUUCAAUGUAUUAACCUUAACCACUAAAAAAGAGCUUCACAAUAACUAUUACUGGUGCAAAGUACAACACUUGUCAUAACAUACACUUGAGAUAUGGCUCACGACUCUCUAGUCUUAAAUUUAAUAUUCUCCUUGACUAUAAACAAACAAGCAAAAAAGUCGUCUUCAAACAACAUAGUAGUGAUUUGAGAUACGUUUUUCAUGGGAUAAGAUUAACUCAUGUGAUAUUGGACCUGUUUAUUAUAGUUUUUUAUAAAAUAGAUUUUUGUAGUGUAAUAUAUUUUUAUUUAAAAAAAUUUAACAAAGAAUUUUUUCAGGAAAGUUUUGAAUAAAAAAUCGGCUUGAAUAGCUUAUCUUAAAAUAUCAUUCUAGAUAUUUCAUCAUUUUGUUAUAAUUUUUUGAUACUAAAAUGUUGAAAAAAUCUCUAAAAAAAAAACUAUUUCAAAUAGCUUUUCAUAAAAAUCAUUUUUGAAAUAUAUCAUUUAAAAAAAAAUGCGAUUUUUACUAUGUAAAAUAUUGAACAAUAAAUAUUUAGGUAAGUGAAUGUCAAAAUAUCUUUUUUAACUUAUAACAAAUGAGUUUGAAAUAACUUAUACUAUUUUUGAGUAAAUUUCCAAAAAAUCUAUUUUUAAAAAUACAAAAGAAAAUCUAUUUUUUUAGAAUCUAUAACAAACGGACCCAUUUUCGUCGGAGGAAAUAGCAAAGUUAAACUCCUCACCAUUCAAUUUCUUAUGACAUUGCCCCUUUUGUGAUAGAGAUAAAUGAGUGACUGAAACUCAAUUAUAACACAAAUAAUAAAGGAAGCGGAUGUUUUCCAUUGUUUAUUGCCUCAUUAGAGGAAUCAUCGCAUCAAUAAUUUAUUGAUUUAUUGAUGCGGUGAUUCACUUAAAUAAAAUAGAUCUUAUUUCUAAUAGUAGAAUACCUUUUUUUUUCACUCAAGGGUAGGUUUGUGAGUUCUGUAGUUUGCUUUAAAGAAUUGAUUCUAGCAUGUUUAGUUGUUGUUGAGUGAAAUUGAAUAUGCCUUUAGAAUUGAUUCUACUUGAACCUCAAAUUUUUAGUUUUUAAUUUUUUUGACUUUCACACACAAAUUUAUAGCUCAUCUCACUUUCGCAUAAAUUUAUCUAAACACAUACCACUUUUGGUCAAAAUUAUUUUUAAUCAAAAUCAAUUUUUACACAAUCAAUUCUAUCAAAAUUAAUUGUCUCCAUUGAGAUAAAUUGUCACAUAACUUGCCUUAUCAUCACUAAGACGUCAUCUAACUUUAGCAUCUAUAUUACUAAAAGAUGAAAUUAAAAGAUGAAUGAGAGAUAAAUUUUGAUCACGAUAUUAUGUAAUCAAAAUUGCAUGUAUGCACUCUUACCGUCAAAAGAUUUCUAGUUGUCCGAUUAAGGUUGGAGGAUUCUUUAUUUUACGAUGGAGUUUAUCAUAUUUUUUUAUGAAUCUUACCCUUUUUUUUUUUUUUUAAUCUUACCCUUCUAAAGUGAGUAAUUCACUUUAUAGCGUACACAUAUGUGCAAUAUCCAUCAUUAAUUAACAUAUUAAAGGUAGAAAUUAUAGAUAUAGAAUAACAAAUGAAAUUAUGAGUUUGUUACAAUAACAACCAUUAAUUUUCUUAAUUUACAUUUUAUCCACUUUAGAUGAUCCUUGCCCAUAUAUUAUACGGAUUUCUUUUAUUCUUUUUUGUUUGGAUAGAUAAUUCUUUAGAUUAUACAUAGAAAUCAAAUUUUAUUCACCCCAACUAUUUUAUUUUUGAAUUUUUUGAAUUUAUGUUCUCCUCACUAGAUACGUCACAUAUGCAUGUACAUGCAUAUGUUGCCAAAGAUGAUGAUAACUAUUACAUAAGAAAUAUGAGAAAGAUCAAAAUAAGGAUAGUCAAGUACCUCUUGGAGUAGACUCAAGUAGCUUAGAUCAGGAGAAGGCAUGAAAGCUGUAACAAAUACAGCAGCUGCAAUUUUCUUUGGAAAUAAUUCCAUGGCCACAGAUAUACACAUCCCACCCAAGCUAUGACCCACUAGAAUAACUCUCUGAUCUUGUGGCAGUGACCUUAGAAAUUCAAUCAACGGUUCAUAAUAAUCUGUGACAGAAUCCAGCUCAUGCACUUGCUUUGGAUGGAUUCCAGAAGCAGCCAUGUCUAGUGCUGUGACUUCGUGUCCAGCAGAUUUUAACAGAGCAAUAAUCUUGUACCAACACCAUGCCCCAUGGCAAGAUCCAUGAAUCAACACGAAAUGUCUCUUAAUCUCAGUAUUCAUCUACCUUUUUUAGUGCUCUGCUAUGUUGGCUUAGUCCGAGAAAAAAAAAACAAGAUUCUUAUAAACAAGGGGCUUGAUGGUAUAGGUGGGCCAUGACCCAAAAAAAUUUCUUAAAAAAUUAUAGGGGGCGGCUGGGUUGGUGUUAAAUAAGGACGGACAUAGACGGAAAACACUUGGUGAUAUUGGGGUGCCAAUGUCAGUGAUAUUGGCCAACUAAAAUAUUCACAAGUGUACAAAAACAUAAAAAACUCUUUUUAGUGAUAGAGAAGAAAACAUGAUUUUUUUUUUAUUUUUUUAUCUUUUUAUACACUUGUGACAUAUGGUUGACCAACGUCGCAUGACAUUGGCACCCCAAUGUCACCCAAAUGCUAGCAACCUAGACAUGGUGGUUUGGUGUGGUUAAAUUAUAAAAGAAACUAUUUAGUGCACAUUUGAUUUAUAAUAUAUAUAUAUAUAUAUAUAUAUAAUGCGAAAAUGAAAUAAAAAAAACACUGCAACAAAAUGGCUAAGGCGUGUCUGUUUUACCUAUAUAUGUCUUAGGUUCGAAUCUCAUUCAUAGCACUUUUUAUCAUUUUUCAGCACUGGGAAUUGAACCAUAGACGCGCCUUUAGUUAAAGGACAAACAUUAUCGAAUUAUAUGGUAUAUAUUAGUUUUUCGAUCUACUAUAUUAAAAAAAAAAAAAAAAAAAAAAGGAAAAUUACACUCACCUCUCCUGAGAUUUUACUAAACAACACAAAGACCCCCUCUAGUUUUAAAAAAUCACUCACUCUUUAAAUGUUAACAGUGUUUAUCAUCGUUACAUGGAGAUUGAUCUGUUUUGUCUUCUUCAGCCUCUCUCUCUCCCAUCAACCACUCAUCCACUUUUGUUUUCGUUUUCUUCUGAUUCAAUCUUCAAACUUAAAAGUUAUCAAUGUUCCUUAAAUUUCCUUGUUGAAUCAUUAAACUCAAAUCCACCAUAUUUGAUUUGGGAGAAUACUGAAUAUAUUUUUAGAUUGGCUUAAUUGCACUUUUGGCCCCCUAUCUUUUCAAAAGUUGCGAUUUUAACCCCCUAACUAAUUAAAAUACAAAACAACCUUCUAUGUAUUGGAUCUUUGGCAGUUUCGGCCCCCAAAGUGGAAAGAUAGGAGGCCAAAACUGCCAAAGAUCCAAUACAUAGGGAGUUGUUUUGUAUUUUAAUUAGUUAGGGGCCAAAAUCAUAACUUUUGAAAAGAUAGAGGGCCAAAAGUGCAAUUAAGCCUUUUAGAUUUGUGGGUAAGUUCAAGCAUCAUUCACAGAUAUCAUAUGGAAUAAAGUGGUGUCUUUUAAAGUGUCUCUUUUAAUAUGAAGAUUGUUGAAUUAAAGACUUUCAACUAAAUAUAAUUUAAUUCAUCAUGGAGUUCUUCAACCAAGAUCGUUGUUAUGCUCGGGUGAUUGUGGGAUGGUAGAAUAUGGUGAAUCAUGUCUUCUUGGAUUUCGAUUUUUUUGGGAAGUAGUUUGGUCCUUCGUUUUGAAGUGGUUAGGGAUAUCUAGCGUGCUUUCAUCUGAUAUUGGUUUGCAAUCUUCUCAGUUGGAUGGUGUCCAUCUCCUCCGGAAGAUAUUUGCAUCUCUCUUCAAAUAAUGUGGCUAACUACUAUAUGAAUAAUUUGGAAGGACCGUAACCUUCAUAUUUUUCACAAUAAAGAGUCAUCUAACGCUUAGAUGGUUGAUAGGAUGAAACUCCAUUCUUGGUGGUGGUUUAGGCUUUGUUUGCGAGUUUGGAAGAAAAAAUAAAUAAAGGAGCAAGUGGAAGAAAUAGAUGACAUUGAGAGGAGAAUUCUUUAAAUUUAAUCUAUAUAGUUAUAAUAUUUUUAAAAUUAAAAAUAUAUUAAUCAUAAGCAUUGGUUUAUCCUUAUUUAAAAAACGACUCUUUCAAAAAAUGUGAAAGAUUUUAGCAUUUUGUCUUAUAUUUCCAACCCUCGAAAGCAUUCCCUUCCACUCCCCUCCAACCUCCCAAACAAAACCUUAAGGUGUAUAAGCCUAAUUUUUUUUUUUAUUUUCUUUUUGUUUGCUGUUUUUUCAACACUUUAUAUUGGUUUCUUAUUAGACACGUCUUAUGCUUAACUUCAUUUUUUUUUUAUUUAUGUAUAUUUUUUGGCUUCUAAAAAAAACAUAUAAACACAAAUGUUAUGUACACAUUAUCAGCACAGCCAAUUUUAAAAAAAAAAAACUAGUAGAGCAUGAAAAAACUGUAUUCCACAUGUUUGCGUUGUAACUCCCACCACCAAUUUAUCUAUUUUGGAUAAUGGAUGGAUAGGGUACAUAAAUGUAUCUUUCGUAUGAAUAUGAUGGUGGUAGCUUGUGUUACAUACAUGCAUGAUACAGAAAAGGAAAAACUGACAGGUCUACUCUACGUGUUCAUCUUUUUUUGUCGUAAUAGAGAAAUUAACCUUGCCAUUUCCAGGUUCCCUCAAGUUUUUCGAGUGAAAUUUUUUACCUUUAUUUCGUAGGUAUUUGAUUUUUUAUUUCUAUAUUUUUGUAUAUAGUUCUCAUGACCUUGCAAUGCAACGAUCGUCUGAUUGUACAAUUCGAUCCUUGACAAAAAAAAAAAUAUUGUACAAUUCGAUCCAAUUAAUUUAACAAAUAUCCGAAAUACAUUUAAGGGUAAAUACCUCUUUUCGUCCUUGUAAUAUUAGUGAAUUCCGGUUUUAGUCCCUGUAAAAAAAAGAUUUAGAUUAUGUCCAUGUAAUUUCAGAUUCUUCCACUUUUGGUCCCUCAUUUCACCACGUCAGCAGAAUCUGCAUACAUGGCACGUAAAAUAAGGGACCAAAAAUGGAGGAAUCUGAAAUUACAGAAUCAAAAGUGGGAGGAAUUUGAAAUUACAGGGACGUAAUUUAUGCAUAUUCUGCUGAUGUGAUGAAAGGAGUGACCAAAAGUGGAAGAAUAUGAAAUUACAGGGACAAAAUCUAAAUUUUUUUUUUUACAGAGACUAAAAUUAAAAUUCGCUAAUAUUACGGGAAUGAAAAGAGAUAUUAACCCUACAUUUAAAUAUAGUGAUUGGAUUUAAAGCACCGAAACUGCAUGCCAUGCCACCAAUUCCCGGUUCCAACCUAUCAAAUCCAAUUAAUGUUGAGGUUUUGCUCAACAAAAAAGAAAAUUAAUGUAGAGGUUUUGGGUUGAAAUUAAACUAUUGAAUCAAUACAUGGUGAUUCGGAAAAGAAAAAAAAAAUUGACAUAAUGAUUGAACCGUAGCUUAUUUGGGGAUUUUGGAAGUAGAUGAGUACUCCAUGAUCCAUGAUUUUUUUGGUGUCCAUGAUCCAUGACGACGGCUAAUAGAAUUUAGAACAGAAUUUAGAAUGCGUAUACAUGCAACAAAUAUAUAGUUUUUUUCUAACAAAAUAAUAGACAUAUAGUUGCAGAUAAAAUAUUGUAAAAACAGAGGACAAACCAUUUUCAACGAAAUUGACAUCUAAAUCUAAAUGGGAUUUGGUUUUGAUAUAUUAUUGUUAAUGACCGGCAAAGAAUAAUCUUAGCGGGAGGUGAGUAAGUGAUUGAAUAAAAAAAUAAAUGAGUGAAUGGGUGGUUCCUAACAUAGUCAAUCUCGGAUAGCAUUGUGUAUCGGUCGACUUCAAAAGUGAGACAGCGGUAUGACAAAUAAUGAUCAUUCAUAUUUUAUUAUUAUUUUUUGGACAAAUUAUAUAACAUUGUGUAUCGGUCGACUUCAAAAGUGAGAAAGCAAUUUUCUUUAACUUAAUUCAAUCACCUUACAAUUAAGUCCAGUUUGAUGGCUUGCUCAAGCAAAAAUUCCAGUCAGAUGGGAUAGAUUGUGACCAUCUACCUCCCAAUACCUUAGCCAUUAAAUCAUUACGUGCCCAAGUUUGUUUCAUCGGUUAAAUUUAAUGUAAGUAUCCAAAGUCCAAACUCGUGGACAGCAACAUUGGAGUCAUUGAAUAAUCAAGUAUGUAGAACUUCAGGUCAACCAUAUGGAAAAGACACCCCCGCAGACGGUGAGUAGGAUAUUCUUUAGGGCAUCCGUGAUGAAAAAACUUAUUUUUAGGUAUUUAAAUGCGUCUCAAACAUACAUAUAUCUUUUUAUAAAAAAUGUUAAUUUGUGUCAUUAAAGCACAAGUUAAUGAGUUAAAAAUGAAAAUAAUUUGUUGUAAUCAAUGUAUUUGAAUUUAAUUUUUAUUUUUAAUUAAUUGAAUACAUAAAAUUUAAGAAAAUGUGUUUACUUUUGGAUUGCUUAACAUGUGUUCUUAUGACGUAAGUUAGCAAGACUUAUCAUUUAUUUAUAAUCUUUUAAUAGAAAUAUCCUGUAAACACUUAAUCCCUUCAACCUAACAAUUCAUACAAAUUUCUUAAAUGUAACUCACUAAUUAUCGAUCAAUAACUAAAUAAAAUUGCAUUUCAAUAUUUUAAUCUCAAUUUAUCUAUCAUUAAGUACUCAAAAUUAUUUUCCUCUAAUGAGAUACCACAAAAAAAAAAAAAAAAAAAAAUUCUUAAACAUGAGACAUUCUCUCAUUAAAGAUGGUCUUAUAAUGCUUUGUUUUGCAGAAAAACAUUGCGACAUCAUCUUUAGAGUAUAUACAUUUUCAACCAUUUAUUGUUAGUUUUAUUCUAGUCAUGAAGCUUGACUACAACUAGACUUUUUUUUAUUAAGAAGAAUAUAUAGGAUUAAAGGGAGAAGUUAAUUUCUCAAGUUUAUGACAAUCUUAACAUAUAUUUGAGAAAUUUGUUGUUUUGAACUUCUAACUAGUUUAUUUUCAUUUGUGCUCAUCCCCAACGUAGCACUUAACACCGCUCAAACAACUCAAAUUGAUAGAAGGAUUAGAUAAAUAUAUUGAGGAAUAAUUUAGAGACGUAGGUUUUAAUAAUUUACAGAUUAAUUUAAAAAUUAUGGUAAUGAACAAGUUUAAUAGGUGCAUAAACUCUUUUAAAUACCCUCCUUUUUUAUCGCUCAUCUAUCACAUCAUGGACACUUUUCUUAUCAAAUUUUCAUGCCAAAAUGCACUCUUUGACCAAUGCUUAAGCAAUGAAUGUGUGGAAUGUGUAAGAGUUUUGUGUCAUAAGUCGUGCAUGUCAUCAUUAUGAUGAUACAACUCAUGUUACUGCUGAGAUAGGGGAGGUUGGGAGCCACAUUGUACAUAGAAAAGACUCAAAUACUGUAAAGGAGGGGCUAGUUUUGGAUGCAAGGUUGUUAGAGGAAGUCCUUUAAGUACAUAUCUUCACUCUGAAGAGUGUUCCUCAUAGUUGUCGUCUUACAUUAAUGAUGUUCUUUAUCAGGUUGUUGAUAUCCCCAGGGUUCAACUAUUAUUGUUUCCUAUUUUCACAUCACAUGUGUUCAAGCUGUAGACUAUGUAGGAUUGACUUUUGGUAAUUGACAAUCUUUCAAUAACAUCACAUUUUGGGUUGUUUGGCUUAGCGGAGAGAAGGUGACAAUCACGCCAAGUUUCUUGAUUGUGCGUUGAGUUGGUCUAGAAAAGAUGGUAUGAGUAAUGGCGGAGAUUAUUAUGAGGAGAUAGAAAAGAGAUGGACAAUGCCUUCAUGUUCAUGGUGUUACCGAUUGGAACUUCACAUCAGCUGUGAAGGUGUUUUGUCAUCUGGAGUGCCCUCAUAUAAUGAAGAUACCAUGGAAAUUUUUAGGUCAAACACUUGUAUAGGUCACCUCCCUAUAUGUCGACCACUGUGUUUUUUGAAGCUCCCCUCGUGGUUUACAUUGUUCUCAAGUUUAUUAAAUUGUUCCCUAAAGAGACAUAUUGUGGUAGAGAUGGUUUGCGGACCCAACACCUAUUAGACGCGUUGUGUGGAGAAGAGUCGGUUGUGGCAAAAGAUCUUUUAUGUGCUAUCACUUCAUUGGUUAACUUAUGGCUAGGAGAAAGAUUCCCCUUGAGUUUGGUAUAGAGUUUGUAGCUUAUGCGCCCUUGACAAUGUUGUUAAAUUCAGGCGGUGGAAUACACCCUAUUGUAGUAGGUAGUAUUUGGAGGCAUUUGAUAUCCAAGUUUGCUACGAAAGAAGUUGGAAAAUAUAUGACAAAUAUCUCAAUGACUUUCAAUUUGGUGUUGGAGUUUCAAGUGGUGUAUAUGUCAUUUUGCAUACUGCCAACAUGAUGUUGAGCCAGUGACUUGGAGAUGGUUUUGUGACUAUGCUCACAAUAGAUUUCUAGAAUGUUUUUAACUUGGUAGACAAGUCAAUAUUGUUGCGUGAGAUGAGAUUAAUAUGCCCAUCUAUUUUUUAUGGGUUGAGUUUCUUUAUCGUCAGGCAUCGAGAUUAUACCUUGGUGAUAAACAUAUCAUGUCAGCCACUGGAGUGCAACAAGACAACACGUUAUUGACGCUCCUUUUUUCUCUUUUGUUACACCCUCUUAUUCAUCAAUUCAAAGAUAGUUGCAAGCUUCUUUUUCAUGCUUGGUAUCUUGAUGAUGGGACUCUUGUAGGAGAUUCAAAUGAGGCUGCUAAAGCACUGAACAUCAUUCGGGAAUUUGAGCCAUAAUUGGGCCUUGAACUGGAUAUUCGUAAGACCGAAAUCUUUUGGCCUUCAAGUGAUGGUAAUAAGAAUCAUAUGGGGGUUUGUUUCCUUCAAACAUUAGGAAGCCGACUUUGGGGGUGAAAUUUCUCGGAGGAGCUAUUAGCCGAGAUAAAUGCUUUAUUAGAGGUUGACCAUGAAGAGAGCUUUCAGGGUUGUUGAGUUAGUGCAUCUUCUUCCACAACUAAGAGAUUCUCAUACUGAGCUUCUUCUACUUCGAUCAUACAUGGGUAUCACCAAAGUUUUCUUUGGCCUAAGGAUGUGCCAACCAAUUCACAUGGAAGAAGCGACUAUGUUGUUCGAUAAAGAGUUGUGUGGAGUGGUUGAGGAUAUUGUUGUUGAUGGGGAUCCUUUCUUUAGGGACCUUCAACGGAGGUUGACUUCUUUACCUAUCAGGUUUGAGGGUUGAGUUUAUAUACAACAGUAGAGUCUUCCUCGUAUGCUUUUGUGGCUUCCUAGAUACAGUCUUGGGUGCUGCAAGAUCUUAUUUUGAGAGACGAUGAGAGUGUAGAAAGAUUCCCCUGGAGUUUGGUAUAGAUCUUAUUUGUAGUAUGUACUCGAAUUUUGACAAUAUUUUGGAUGGUCUUCGUGGUACGAUUCCAGAUUUUGACGUUAACAGUUUUACUAGCAAAGACAUCGUCCCUCCUAAAAUAUAAAAUGUUUUGGCGAGUGCUCUUUUUAGUAAAAGUGUUCAAGAUAUGAAAAUGAAGUUUGCAUACAACACAUUUUCAAAAUUUCCUUCAGGCUAUCCCCUAUUAUUGGAUAUUGAAAAAAAGUGAUAACUUAGAGACAAAUCAAUUUAUUCUUUACUGAAGUUCUUGAGUGAUGGUACAUUGAUAUUUAAUCUUCAUAAUCAUCGGUAAUACUUUCUAAAUUGAAAUCAACAGGCAUAUUAAUUUGCUAAUAAUAUG
rnacentral:lncRNA from 1 species